rnacentral:rRNA from 1 species
GACGAACGCUGGCGGCGUGCCUAACACAUGCAAGUCGAGCGGGGUGGUUCUGAAGGGCAACCGGAGGGAUCACCUAGCGGCGAACGGGUGAGUAACGCGUGGAUAACCUACCUCAAGGUCUGGGAUAACAGCUCGAAAGGGCUGCUAAUACCGGAUGUGGUGCAUAUGCUGCAUGGUAGAUGCACUAAAGGGGAAACCCGCCAUGAGAUGGGUCCGCGUCCCAUCAGCUAGUUGGUGGGGUAAAGGCCUACCAAGGCGACGACGGGUAGCCGGCCUGAGAGGGUGACCGGCCACACUGGGACUGAGACACGGCCCAGACUCCUACGGGGGGCAGCAGUGGGGAAUAUUGCACAAUGGGCGAAAGCCUGAUGCAGCGACGCCGCGUGGGCGAAGAAGGCCUUCGGUUGUAAGCCCUGUCUGGAGGACGAAGUAAUGACGGUACCUCCGGGGAAGCCACGGCUAACUACGUG